rnacentral:rRNA from 1 species
CCUACGGGUGGCAGCAGUGGGGAAUAUUCCACAAUGGAGGGAACUCUGAUGCAGCGACGCCGCGUGAGUGAAGAAGUACUUCGUUAUGUAAAGCUCUAUCAGCAGGGAAGAAAGUUACGGUACGUGAAAAAGAAGCUCAGGCUAAAGACGUGCCAGCAGCCGCGGUAAUACGUAGGGAGCAAGCGUUAUCCGGAUUUACUGGGUGGAAAGGGAGAGUAGGUGGCAGAGCAAGUCUGAAGUGAAAACCCAAAGCGCAAAUAUGGGAAUGCUUUAGAAACUGCUCAGCUAGAGUGCAGGAGAGGCAAGUGGAAUUCUUAGUGUGGCGGUGAAAUGCGUAGAUAUAAGGAGGAACACCAGUGGCGAAGGCGGCUUGCUGGACUGUAACUGACACUGAGGCUCGAAAGCGUGGGGAGCAAACAGGAUUAGAUACCCUUGUAGUC